GCCAGGCAUGGUGGUGCAUACCUGUGGUCCCAGCUACUCAGGAGGCUGAGAUGGGAGGAUCGCUUGAGCCCAGGAGGUCGAGGUUGCAGUGAGCCAAGAUUGUGCCACUGUACUCCAGCCUGGGUAAUAAAGCGAGACUCUGUCUUUA
rnacentral:SRP_RNA from 1 species